AUUGAACGCUGGCGGCAUGCUUUACACAUGCAAGUCGAACGGUAACAGGCCGCAAGGUGCUGACGAGUGGCGAACGGGUGAGUAAUGCAUCGGAACGUGCCCAGUCGUGGGGGAUAACGCAGCGAAAGCUGCGCUAAUACCGCAUACGAUCUAUGGAUGAAAGCGGGGGACCGUAAGGCCUCGCGCGAUUGGAGCGGCCGAUGUCAGAUUAGGUAGUUGGUGGGGUAAAGGCUCACCAAGCCAACGAUCUGUAGCUGGUCUGAGAGGACGACCAGACACACUGGGACUGAGAAACGGCCCAGACUCCUACGGGAGGCAGCAGUGGGGAAUGUUGGACAGUGGGCGCAAGCCUGAUCCAGCAAUGCCGCGUGCAGGAAGAAGGCCUUCGGGUUGUAAACUGCUUUUGUACGGAACGAAACGGCUCUGGUUAAUACCUGGGGCUAAUGACGGUACCGUAAGAAUAAGCACCGGCUAACUACGUGCCAGCCGCCGCGGUAA
rnacentral:rRNA from 1 species